GUAAGUACUGCAGGUAACUAGGCACUAGCAGCAGGGGCACUAGCAGCAGGGACACUCCCUAUCUCGCCUGUCACCCGCGUCCAGCAAAAUCUGAUGCCCUGUCGGCCCAGCAGGGGGCGGUGCUGCUUUAGUUUUGGCCUGGUCGGGGUUGAGCGGAGGAGGGAGCGACUUCGAAUUCAGUCUGCACCUGACUGACCUCGAGCAAAAACGAAGCGGGCGCACGUUACCGUCUUCCAUCUGGGGGCCCAGCAGCCUCCAUCUUCGCCCUAGCCCCUACAGCCUCGUCCCUGGCUGGGGCUCCAGCUCCCCAAUUUCUCACCCUCACCACCAGGAGCUACUUAUCUUAUCACAGGCUCACUUAGAUUACCACUAGGAGAUUACCACUCGGGUGGGGUGGAGGUGCGGUGGGAUUCGCAUUUUGCAAGGGAUCAAAAGAGCGGCUAAUUAUGGCAUUUCUAGCCCAAGGCAUUGGCCAGAGAUAUUGCGGGUAGGCCCCUUAACCUCCCAGCAUCUCGCAGUAUCUACCGAUUAGUGCUGAGCCUCCUGUGCAAUGCAUCCGUCUAUAGAUAUGGCCAGAAUGGGCCGGGCUUGGUGCGCGGUGGCUCACUGCUGUAAUUCCAACACUUUGGGAGGCCGAGGCGGUCGGAUCAACUGAGGUCAGGAGUUCGAGACCAGCCUGGCCAAUAUGGCGAAAUCCUGUUUCUACUUUAAAAACAAACAAACAAACAAACAAAAAACAAAAAAAAAACUAGCCGGGCGUGAUGGCGCAAGCCUGUAGUCCUAGCUACUGGGGAGGCUGAGGCAGAAGAAUCGUUUGAACCCUGGAGGCGGAAGUUGCAGCGAGCGGAGAUCGAGUCACUGCACUCCAGGCUGGGGGAUAGAGCGAGACUCCCAUCUCAAAAUAAAAAAUAAUAAUAAUAAUUUUUUAAAAAGAAAGAAAUGGCCAGAAUGCCAAAGCUUUAAUGGUGGGUAGAAGUCCCCAGACUUGAGAGUCUCGUUCUCCCAACUCUCCUUCCCCGUCAGAAAGUGCGAAGGGACUGGAAUGGAGAUCCUGAGCGGUCCUGGGUGCCGGGGCCCCGACCGGGGCUGAGCUGGUCCCCUGGUCGGGACGGCUGGGCAGAGGUGCCGAGGGGCCGCGGGCGGCCCUUCGCUGGCUCAUUCGCAUCCGCAGCCCCUCAAGAAGGCCCUGGGCCCGCAGGGAGGAAGAGGUGAGCACCCGACAGGAAGGAGAUGGGCUUGGGGGCUCGGGGCGUGCCCUGGGGCAGGUGGAGCGUCCGGCCUCUGAUGUCCCGCGCAGGACACUGAGGUCGCGGUGCAGAGAAGGGUCGGCUUGAGGAUCUGACAGCCUUGCCCGCGUUGGAGACGGGGAAAGGCUCGCAGAACUAAGUUUACCUGGAAGGUCCUCUCCUGCGCUGGCUCUGGGGGUGCUUGGAACCAGAGCCCCUUAGUCGAAGCGCGUCCUGCUGCCAGCUACUACCAAGUCCUUAGGCCGAGCCCGUUUCUCUCCUGGUGAUGUGAAUCCUCGUUUUUUGUUGUUGUUGUUGUCGUUUACUGAAGUCCCGGGCUGAUUAGACACAGCAAUGGAAGCUGGGGGUGGCCUGGGCCGUGCAUUGAAUUUGUGACUUUAGCAAGUCCCUAAAUUCCUCUCUGCCUCACUUUUGCUGUCUUUUUUAGGUUAAAAAUAUUUUGGAGAAUAGAAAACAGAACAAAACAAAAAUAAUGGCUUAUAGUGCCAAUAUGGAAUUAUAGUCACUCCUAACAUUUUGGUAUAUUGUUUUGCAUUUGCUUUGUUUCUAUUCUAUGCUUAUAUAUUUUUAAUUUUUUUCCAUCACUGUCAUCAUAUUUCCUAUUCAGGUCUCCAGCCUGCUUUAAAAAUUUUUUAAUCAUAAAGUUCCAUAAAAAUUUUAUUUCAGCCAAUUUCUUUUAUAACACGUUCUUCAUGAAUCUUAUCUGAUAUCUGCAUAAUAUUCCACUCAUACUUUGCACAAUUAGACAUUAAGGUCGUGUGUACUUUUUAAAUUAUGAUACAGCAAUUUCUAAAUAGUGUAUAAUUUCAAUUUUUGUUUCUUAGUUAUCAUAACAGUUCUUAAAAGGUGAUAACAAAUUUUUAAGUGGAUACAUUUUUUCCCCCUUCUUUGGUUUAUAAUUUUAUUGCUCUGUGGUCUGAGAAUGUGGCUGUAUUUACGCUUUUUGAAAUUGAAGUUUUUGAUUGAUGGUUGAUUUCGUAAAUAAGUUUAGGCACAGUUUUGUAUAAAUGAUUGGGCACAAAAUUCUUUAUAUUAGAUCAAGCUUUGUAAAAUGUAUUAUCCAUAUCUGCUAUGUCUUUUUAAAAUUUUUAUCUACUUGAUCUAAUUUCUGAAAGAGCUGUAAGUUUUUUAAAUGUGUUUGUGGAUUUACUAUUUCUUCUUUAUAUAUAUAUAUAUAUAUAUAUAUAU
rnacentral:lncRNA from 1 species